GCAAUCCCAAGAAACAGAUUAGAGUUCUUAAAAAAAUUAUAGACUUUUUAAACAAGUCGAUUGAAGAGUUUGCAAAAGUUGAGAAAGAGUACGUGGACUUGGCUGCAGACACAUCCAGAAAGCUUGAGGCACUUAGCAAAUCCAAAUCCAGAGAGAUUGAGGUAUUUGGCAAAGCCGUGUAUGAAUCCACAAAAAUGUUACUUUUGAAAUGUGAGGACGUAGCUGAUCGUGGUGCUAGUUACCAUGGCUAUUAUGUGCGGGCUCUUCAUUUUGAAGUGCGAGCAUUUUUAUAUAUAA